rnacentral:rRNA from 1 species
UACGUAGGGUGCAAGCGUUACUCGGAAUUACUGGGCGUAAAGCGUGCGCAGGCGGUUGGGCAAGACCGAUGUGAAAUCCCCGGGCUUAACCUGGGAAUGGCAUUGGUGACUGCACGGCUAGAGUGUGUCAGAGGGGGGUAGAAUUCCACGUGUAGCAGUGAAAUGCGUAGAGAUGUGGAGGAAUACCGAUGGCGAAGGCAGCCCCCUGGGAUAACACUGACGCUCAUGCACGAAAGCGUGGGGAGCAAACAGG